rnacentral:rRNA from 1 species
GACGAACGCUGGCGGCGUGCCUAAUACAUGCAAGUUGAGCGCUGAAGGUUGGUACUUGUCCCAACUGGAUGAGCAGCGAACGGGUGAGUAACGCGUGGGGAAUCUGCCUUUGAGCGGGGGACAACAUUUGGAAACGAAUGCUAAUACCGCAUAAAAACUUUAAACACAAGUUUUAAGUUUGAAAGAUGCAAUUGCAUCACUCAAAGAUGAUCCCGCGUUGUAUUAGCUAGUUGGUGAGGUAAAGGCCCACCAAGGCGAUGAUACAUAGCCGACCUGAGAGGGGGGUCGGCCACAUUGGGACUGGGAAACGGGCCAAACUCCCACGGGGGGGAGCAGGAGGGAAACUUCGGGAAAGGACGAAAGGCUGACCGGGCAAAGCCGGGUGAGGGAAGAAGGGUUUCGGAUCGGAAAACUCUGUUGGUAGGGAAGAAAGUUGGUGGGAGUGGAAAGCGCAUGAAGUGACGGUAACUACCCAGAAAGGGACGGCUAACUACGUG